GUCAUGGUGGCCGAGUGGUUAAGGCGUUGGACUCGAAAUCCCAAUGGGGUCUCCCCGCACAGAUUCAAAUCCUGUCCAUGACG